rnacentral:rRNA from 1 species
CUUCGGCCCGAGUUGUAAUUUGUAGAGGAUGUUUAUGGUGCGGUACCUUCCGAGUUCCCUGGAACGGGACGCCACAGAGGGUGAGAGCCCCGUCUGGUUGGAUACCAAACCUGUGUUAAACUCCUUCAACGAGUCGAGUAGUUUGGGAAUGCUGCUCUAAAUGGGAGGUAAAUCUCUUCUAAAGCUAAAUACCGGCCAGAGACCGAUAGCGCACAAGUAGAGUGAUCGAAAGAUGAAAAGCACCUUGAAAAGGGGGUUAAACAGUACGUGAAAUUGUUGAAAGGGAAGCGUUUAUGACCAGACUUGUGCCGUGUGGCUCAUCCGAGGUUCUCCCCGGUGCACUCCACACGGUUCAGGCCAACAUCGGUUUUCGCCGGGGGAUAAGAACAGUAGGAACGUAGCUCCCCUCGGGGAGUGUUAUAGCCUAUUGUACGAUACCCUGGCGGGGACCGAGGACCGCGCUUCGGCUAGGAUGUUGGCGUAAUGGUCAUUAGCGACCCGUCUUGAAACACGGACCAAGGAGUCGUCCAUUAGAGCGAGCGUUUGGGUGUAAAACCCGCACGCGUAAUGAAAGUGAAAUUAGGUGAGAGCUUCGGCGCAUCAUCGACCGAUCCUGAAGUUUACGGAUGGAUUUGAGUAAGAGUUUUAACGGACGGACCCGAAAGACAGUGAACUAUGCUUGAAUAGGGUGAAGCCAGAGGAAACUCUGGUGGAGGCUCGCAGCGGUUCUGACGUGCAAAUCGAUCGUCAAAUUUGAGCAUGGGGGCGAAAGACUAAUCGAACUGUCUAGUAGCUGGUUACCGCCGAAGUUUCCCUCAGGAUAGCAGUGUUGACCUUCAGUUUUAUGAGGUAAAGCGAAUGAUUAGGGACUCGGGGGCGCUUAUUAGCCUUCAUCCAUUCUCAAACUUUAAAUAUGUAAGAAGCCCUUGUUACUUAAUUGAACGUGGGCAUUCGAAUGUACCAACACUAGUGGGCCAUUUUUGGUAAGCAGAACUGGCGAUGCGGGAUGAACCGAACGGGGGGUUAAGGCGCCAGAAUGUACGCUCAUCAGACACCACAAAAGGCGUUAGUACAUCUUGACAGCAGGACGGUGGCCAUGGAAGUCGGAAUCCGCUAAGGACUGUGUAACAACUCACCUGCCGAAUGUACUAGCCCUGAAAAUGGAUGGCGCUCAAGCGUACUGCCCAUACCCCCCCUUCAGGGUAGAAACGAUGCC